CCUACGGGAGGCAGCAGUGAGGAAUAUUGGUCAAUGGGCGGAAGCCUGAACCAGCCAAGCAGCGUGCAGGAUGACGGCCCUACGGGUUGUAAACCGCUUUUAUACGGGAAUAACGCCCCUUACGUGUAGGGCUUUGCAUGUACCGUAUGAAUAAGGAUCGGCUAACUCCGUGCCAGCAGCCGCGGUAAUACGGAAGGUCCGGGCGUUAUCCGGAUUUAUUGGGUUUAAAGGGAGCGUAGGCCGGAUGUCAAGCGUGCUGUGAAAUGUCCGGGCUCAACCCGGGCCUUGCAGCGCGAACUGGCGGGCUUGAGUCCGCGGAAAGCAGGCGGAAUGCGUGGUGUAGCGGUGAAAUGCUUAGAUAUGACGAAGAACCCCGAUUGCGAAGGCAGCUUGCUGCAGCGGAACUGACGCUGAUGCACGAAAGCGCGGGUAUCGAACAGGAUUAGAUACCCCUGUAGUC
rnacentral:rRNA from 1 species